GCACUGCUGAAGAGUCCCAAACUAAGACGAAACAGCUGUCCAGUAC
rnacentral:hammerhead_ribozyme from 1 species